ACGGGUAACAAACAAGUCCAAACAUUUAGUAAUAAGCAGGCUUUGAUACAUUUAAUAUUUGGAUAUUUGUUGUUGUUGAUCAGGGGCUUGGUUCUCCAGUUUUUGAUAAACUUGAAGCAGAGCUAGCAAAGGCUGUGAUGUCAAUACCUGCAACAAAGGGAUUUGACAUUGGCAGUGGAUUUGAAGGUUGAGAAGAAAACUAUAUACUAAUUUUGGUUUAUUAAUUUGAUGAAAGUAGUAAAUGAAUAAUUUGUGGAACAGGUGCAUUCAUGCGUGGUAGUGAGCAUAAUGAUGAAUUCUACAUGGAUGAAGAGGGUCGCAUUAGGACUAAAACCAAUCGUUCCGGUGGUAUACAGGUGAGGAGGCUACACUACAUAAAAUUCUACUACUUCAAUUCAUAUUUGUUUUGAUCAAAUGUUGUGUUUCAGGGUGGGACAUCAAAUGGUGAAAUUAUCAAGAUGAGAGUAGCUUUCAAGCCAACUCCGAUUAUAUAUGUAUGCUUUCUCUCUCUUAACCUUGUGGGAUGUACUCCCUCCGUCCACCAAAAAAACUCCUACUUGCCCUUAAAUAUUUGUCCACCAAAUAAACUCCUACUCUGCUUUUUGGACAAUUAUACCCUCCCUUGCUUUUAAAUUUACUACACUUUUAUCUAUUGGGCCCACUUUAUUCCACCAUUACUUAUGUAAUUAGUCUCCCCUAAACUAAUUAUUAUUAUUAUUAUUAUUAUUAUUAUUAUUAUUAUUAUUAUUAUUAUUAUUAUUAUUAUUAUUAUUAUUAUUAUUAUUAUUAUUAUUAUUAUUAUUAUUGUUGUUGUUGUUGUUGUUGUUGUUGUUGUUGUUGUUAUUAUUAUUGUUAUUAUUAUUAUUAUUAUUAUUAUUAUUAUUAUUAUUAUUAUUAUUAUUAUUAUUAUUAUUAUUAUUAUUAUUAUUAUUAUUAUUAUUAUUAUUAUUAUUAUUAUUAUUAUUAUUAUUAUUAUUAUUAUUAUUAUUAUUAUUAUUAUUAUUGUUAUUGUUAUUAUUAUUAUUAUUAUUAUUAUUAUUAUUAUUAUUAUUAUUAUUAUUAUUAUUAUUAUUAUUAUUGUUAUUGUUAUUAUUGUUAUUAUUAUUAUUAUUAUUAUUAUUAUNAGGGAUUGUGAAGCUCCCGGGGUCCUUGAUCUUGGUGGGGAUUUUUCUUUGGAGAACGGCACUACAUUCUCGGUUAGAUUGACCGUCUCAUUCUCUCCCAUCUUCCUCUUGUUUGAUAUGACCUCCUUUAGGAACUUUGCAUAGGAGGGCAUUUGUUUCAAAGCUUCAAUAAGUGGAAUGUUGAUGUGCACCUUUCGAAAAAUCUCAAGAAACUUGGAGAAUUCAUUCUCCACAUUCUUCUUUUGAUGUCUUUGAGGAAAAGGGAUUGGUGGGCAAUAAGGUGGUGGAGCCACGUACACCUCCUUCUCUUUCCUCUAUCUCCUUGUUCCUUUGAAGGGUUGCCAUCUCCAACUUCAACCACAACACCACUUCUAUCUUCUUCGUCGGGCAUCUUGGGCUCUUCAUAUGUUGUCCCACUCCUUAGAGCAAUGGCCUUGCAAUGCUCCUUGGGAUUCACGAUUGUGUUGCUUGGGAAUUGCCCUUGUUGGUGUUGAUUGUUUAUAGACUCGGCAAUUUGUCCCACUUGUAUCUCAAGCAUUUUCAAUUGCUUGGCUUGAGCCUCUAACUUCUCAUCCGUUCUUGUCAUGUGAGCUUGAGUCGUGGUCAUGAACUUCAUCAAUAUUUCUUCAAGGUUGAGCUUCUUCUCUUCCUUGAUCAUGCCAUGGCUCACCGCAAAUCCGGGCGGUGGUGCAAGAAAUUGUUUGGAUUGCUAUAGGAGAGGUUAGGGUGGCGGUUAGGUUGGAAUCCUUGAGUGUAUUGCCCUUGCCCUUGGUAGCACUUGUGUUGGGCCGGAAGUUCGCAUAGCCUCGGUUGUUGUUGUUGUUGAUGUAGUUCACAUCCUCGAAGCUAGUUUGUCUUCAACCACGGGCUCUACCCUUGACAUUGAUAUAGCAUCAAUCUUGCUAUUCAUGGCGGUCAAUUGAGCCGUCAAAAGAGCUAUCGGAUCCGAGCUUGUUGUAGCCGCCACCUUCUUCAAGAUGAUCCUCUCCGUUGGGAAUUGAUGGCAAUUGGUGGCCAAGUUCUCUAUGAUGUGAGCGGCCUCCGCGUGGCUUUUCUCCAACAAUGCUCCAUUGGCCGAUGCAUUCAUGUCUCUUUGCAUCUCACCACUACACCCGGUGUAGAAUACACAAAUGAUUGUGUUUUGAUCUAAACCAUGGUUAGAGCACUUCCUUAGCAUCUCUUUGAAUCUCUCCCAAGCUUCGUAGAAGGAUUCUCCAUCAAAUUGGUGAAAUUGGACUAUGUCCUUCUUCAUCUUCAUGGUUCUACCCGGAGGGUAGAACUUGUUGAGAAACUUUUGAGCCAUGUUCUCCCAUGUAGUGAUAGAACCACCCUCUAAAGAUUGGUACCAUGUCUUGGCCAUGCCCCUUAGCGAAAAGGGGAAGAGUCGAAGUCGAAUGGCAUCCUCCGGGACUCCAUUCAUCUUGAUGGUGCCGCAUAUCUCCAAGAAGUUUCCAAGAUGUCCAUUCGGGUCAUCUUGGGAAAGACCGGCGAAUUGGUUUUGUUGUACCAUAUUUAUGAGGGCCGGCUUGAGCUCAAAAUUUGUGGCGUUGAUUCUCGGGGCAUUCACUCCUCCUUGUUGGACAAUGGGUUGGAACAUAUUGCUAAUAGGUGGUGGUGGAGGUGUAUUUCUUAGAGCUUCUUGCUCAUUGAUUUUCCCUUGCAUGGCUUCUAAUUGCAUUUGAAGUUGACGGAUUAAGUCGUGAUUUUCCGCCAUAGCUUCCUCCAACUCUCUAUCUCUUCUUGUUCUUGCUUUGUUGUGUCGACAAAAAGCUUCAACCUCAAGGUUUAUAGGUAUAAGAGGUGCACCCUUAGAUCUUGUGUUCAUACACUACCUAUCAACCAACAAGAACAAGAAGUCAAAACACAAUCUUAAAAUAGAAAACAAAAAUUAAAGCAAGUAAAAUGUCUAAAGUAGUUAAGCACAAUGAAGCAAAAUAUCACAAGCAAAGAAACUAAACUAAUCCCCGGCAACGGCGCCAAAAACUUGUUCGCUAUUAUUUUCACCACGCCGCAAGUAUACGGGUAGUUGUAAUAUAUGGAAGCAAGGUCGUAUCCCACAAGGAUUAGUAGUUCAAUCUAGUGAUUAUCCUAAGUCAUUAUGCUAUAGCUAUUUAGACUAAACGAUGGAGUGAUUGGUUUGAUUAUCUACUAAUUACUUAACAAGUGCAAAGACAAAUAAAACCAAAUAAGCAAGUGGAUUAAUAAGAUGAUUAAGGCGAUUUAGGGACUAGGCAUCGAUGAUUAAGCAAAAGACUUCAAUUAUAGCUCAAUAUUAAUCUUGACAAUCCUAAUUAUCUAGAGUGAUCUCCCAACUAGUUCUAGCCCCCUCCCGGACGACUAGAGCGGUAGAUUACGGGUCAUAGUUGCCGUCCCCGGUCAACUUCUAACCUAUAACUCCCAAAAGCACACAAAGAUCGACAUACUCUCACCCAACUCUCAACCUCCCGGUUAUCGAAUUGAUAUGUUUCAAACACCUUAUCUAUUGCAAUUAUCCUCUCCCGAUUCAAAGUGCAAAUUAGAAAUGCAUAGAAUGUGGCCAACAAUCCAUACAAGAAAUAAAUCAAGGGUUUGAAAAGAUAAUGUGCAAAUGAACAAACAAGAUUUAUAUUGAGCAUAAAUAAUCAAUCCAUUACAAUAAUCAUCUAGCCUAAUCCCCAAAUCAAAGAGAAAUUUAGCCUAACAAUGUUCAAACACAAUAAAAUCAAAGUUAAAGGUGUACAUAAUGAAAGAGAGAGUAAGAAAUGACAAAUCCUAUUUAUGAGCUUCUUCUUCCUUCUCUUCUCUUCAAUGGUCUUCAAUGGUAGAUGGGUGUGUUAAAGGAGGCUAGGGUUUAGUGUGUGGAGUGUUGGGGAAGAUGAGUGAUGGAGAAGAAGAAUAAUAAGAGAAAAAGGGGGAAAAUGGGGUUUAAGGGCUGAAAAACGCGACUCCGCUCUUUUCCCGCGGUCAUGGCCCGCGCCCGUGGUGCUCAAACGUGGGCAAAAUUCAGGGAACCCGCGGUCCCGCCCCGCGGCCGCGGGUGGUGACCGUGGGGGGGACCCGCGGUCCCAGCCCGCGGCCGCGGGUGGUGACCGCGGUACACCCCUGGACUUGAGCACUUAGCCCGCGGUCCCACCCCGCGGCCGCGGGUGUUGACCGCGGGCGAUACCUUCCCCACGACGCGUGACCGCGGCCGCGGCCUCUGUGCGCGGCUGACUUUGUCGGCCCCGUUCUCCCUCGUCCGAGCUCCGAUUCGGGCGCCGUUCACGCUCAUGGAUUCCUCUCGAGACGUACUUCAAUCCUAUGCUCUCAUAAUUCUCCAAUCAACUCUUGAUUUGCCCUGAAAAUACUCAAAAACUAUACCAAGCAAUCAAAACUUCAUAAAUACUAAAUAUUCGGGCACAAACAAGUAUUCACAAGCAAAACAUGAAGGGAAAUGACAACAAAACAUGUGGAAUUGAGGUACGAAAACCAUGUUUGUCAAUAAUAUUGCUUGAACAAGCAAUUCCUAUAAUAGUUUCCAUAACUAUUGUUUCGACAUAACAGAUUCUAGCAUAUGUUUCUCAAGUUCACAAGGUUGUCCUUCCCGAAUAUCUGGUUGAUCACGAAAGAGUAACACUUGAUCAGGUAUAUCCAAUUCAUUGUACCAUAUUUGGGUUGUUUCUGUACCAUUUUGAUUAUAUUUUGUGGUUUUGUUAUGAUUUGAAUAAUCAGAUAGAGAGCAAUAUAGUGAGGUGCCCGGAUCCUGAAUACGCGGAGAAGAUGAUAGGUGCUAUUGACACCGUCACAGCUAGAGGUGACUCUGCUGGUGGUGUCGUUACCUGCAUAGUUCGAAACGUGCCACGGGUAACAAACAAGUCCAAACAUUUAGUAAUAAGCAGGCUUUGAUACAUUUAAUAUUUGGAUAUUUGUUGUUGUUGAUCAGGGGCUUGGUUCUCCAGUUUUUGAUAAACUUGAAGCAGAGCUAGCAAAGGCUGUGAUGUCAAUACCUGCAACAAAGGGAUUUGACAUUGGCAGUGGAUUUGAAGGUUGAGAAGAAAACUAUAUACUAAUUUUGGUUUAUUAAUUUGAUGAAAGUAGUUAAUGAAUAAUUUGUGGAACAGGUGCAUUCAUGCGUGGUAGUGAGCAUAA
rnacentral:lncRNA from 1 species